rnacentral:rRNA from 1 species
GCGGCCUAUCAGCUUGUUGGUGAGGUAAUGGCUCACCAAGGCGACGACGGGUAGCCGGCCUGAGAGGGCGACCGGCCACACUGGGACUGAGACACGGCCCAGACUCCUACGGGAGGCAGCAGUGGGGAAUAUUGGGCAAUGGAGGAAACUCUGGCCCAGCGACGCCGCGUGAGGGAUGAAGGCCUUCGGGUUGUAAACCUCUUUCAGUAGGGAAGAAGCGAAAGUGACGGUACCUACAGAAGAAGCACCGGCUAACUAUGUGCCAGCAGCCGCGGUAAUACAUAGGGUGCAAGCGUUGUCCGGAAUUAUUGGGCGUAAAGAGCUCGUAGGUGGUUCGAUACGUCGGAUGUGAAAAUCAGGGGCUCAACCCCUGACCUGCAUCCGAUAUCGGUCGAGCUAGAGUUUGGUAGGGGAGACUGGAAUUCCU